rnacentral:rRNA from 1 species
AUACGUAGGUGGCGAGCGUUGUCCGGAAUUACUGGGUGUAAAGGGCGUGUAGGCGGGUUUGCAAGUCAGAUGUGAAAUUCCGGGGCUUAACUCCGGCGCUGCAUUUGAAACUGCAAGUCUUGAGUACUGGAGAGGGAAGCGGAAUUCCUAGUGUAGCGGUGAAAUGCGUAGAUAUUAGGAGGAACACCAGUGGCGAAGGCGGCUUUCUGGACAGUAACUGACGCUGAGGCGCGAAAGCGUGGGGAGC